AGCAGUGUAGCAUAAAGGUUGGGGCACAAGGCUAGUAACUCUAAGGUUGUAGGUUCAAUUCCCAGGUCACUGCUG
rnacentral:tRNA from 1 species